rnacentral:rRNA from 1 species
GACGAACGCUGGUGGCGUGCUUAACACAUGCAAGUCGAACGGGAUUUAGUAAACAGAAGCCUCGGUGGAAGAUUACUAAUGCGAGUGGCGAACGGGUGAGUAACGCGUGAGCAACCUGCCUAUGACAGUGGGAUAGCCUCGGGAAACCGGGAUUAAUACCGCAUACAAUCGUAGAAGCACAUGUUUUAACGGUCAAAGAUUUAUCGGUCAUAGAUGGGCUCGCGUCUGAGUAGCUAGUUGGUGAGAUAACAGCCCACCAAGGCGACGAUCAGUAGCCGGUCUGAGAGGAUGAACGGACACAUUGGAACUGAGACACAGUCCAAACUCCUACGGGAGGCAGCAGUGGGGAAUAUUGCACAAUGGGGGAAACCCUGAUGCAGCGACGCCGCGUGAACGAAGAAGGUAUUCGUAUCGUAAAGUUCUGUCCUAUGGGAAGAUAAUGACAGUACCAUAGAAGAAAGCUCCGGCUAAAUACGUG